rnacentral:rRNA from 1 species
GACGAACGCUGGCGGCGUGCCUAAUACAUGCAAGUAGAACGCUGAAGGAGGAGCUUGCUUCUCUGGAUGAGUUGCGAACGGGUGAGUAACGCGUAGGUAACCUGCCUGGUAGCGGGGGAUAACUAUUGGAAACGAUAGCUAAUACCGCAUAAUAGUAGAUGUUGCAUGACAUUUGCUUAAAAGGUGCAAUUGCAUCACUACCAGAUGGACCUGCGUUGUAUUAGCUAGUUGGUGGGGUAACGGCUCACCAAGGCGACGAUACAUAGCCGACCUGAGAGGGUGAUCGGCCACACUGGGACUGAGACACGGCCCAGACUUCUACGGGAAGCAGCAGUAGGGAAUCUUCGGCAAUGGGCGGAAGGCUGACCGAGCAACGCCGCGUGAGGGAAGAAGGUUUUCGGAUCGUAAAGAUCCGUUGUAAGAGAAGAAAGAGUGUGAGAGUGGAAAGUUCACACUGUGACGGUAUCUAACCAGAAAGGGACGGCUAACUACGUG